CGAGUUUGAUCCUGGCUCAGGAUGGACGCUAGCGGCAGGCCUAAUACAUGCAAGUCGGACGGGAUCCAUCGGAGAGCUUGCUCGAAGAUGGUGAGAGUGGCGCACGGGUGCGUAACGCGUGAGCAACCUACCUCUAUCAGGGGGAUAGCCUCUCGAAAGAGAGAUUAACACCGCAUAAUAUAAUUUCCCGGCAUCGAGGAAUUAUUAAAUAUUUAUAGGAUAGGGAUGGGCUCGCGUGACAUUAGCUAGUUGGUAGGGUAACGGCUUACCAAGGCGACGAUGUCUAGGGGCUCUGAGAGGAGAAUCCCCCACACUGGUACUGAGACACGGACCAGACUCCUACGGGAGGCAGCAGUAAGGAAUAUUGGUCAAUGGGCGGAAGCCUGAACCGGCCAUGCCGCGUGCAGGAUGACUGCCCUAUGGGUUGUAAACUGCUUUUGUCCAGGAAUAAACCUCUUUACGAGUAGAGAGCUGAAUGUACUGGAAGAAUAAGGAUCGGCUAACUCCGUGCCAGCAGCCGCGGUAAUACGGAGGAUCCGAGCGUUAUCCGGAUUUAUUGGGUUUAAAGGGUGCGUAGGCGGCCUAUUAAGUCAGGGGUGAAAUACG
rnacentral:rRNA from 1 species